rnacentral:rRNA from 1 species
UACGGGGGGGGCAAGCGUUGUUCGGAAUUACUGGGCGUAAAGGGCUCGUAGGCGGCCAACUAAGUCAGACGUGAAAUCCCUCGGCUUAACCGGGGAACUGCGUCUGAUACUGGAUGGCUUGAGGUUGGGAGAGGGAUGCGGAAUUCCAGGUGUAGCGGUGAAAUGCGUAGAUAUCUGGAGGAACACCGGUGGCGAAGGCGGAUCUCUGGGCCAUUACUGGACGCUGAGGAGCGAAAGCGUGGGGAGCGAACAGGAUUGAGAA